AGCCAAUACACACAUGAUCAGGUAUUCUGAUUAAGCUUGCCUCUGUUUCUUCUUUUCAGAGUUGUUUAAAAUACACAAGCAAGGAUAAAUGAGGAAAUCUGUAGAGACUCAAGGAGUAGACAGCUUUCUUUAGAAACAAUCUGAAUGCAACCUUUGGUUCAGUGGAAGCACUUAAGAAGAUGUCUUUAGAUUUCUCUGGAAGACUACGUCAAAACUUGGUGUGAGCAGCCCAGCACCUGAUUUGUGUCCAAGACUAUGCGGAGUUGACAACGGAGUCUGUCUUCUCCCUUUGUUGCUUGAGGAACUCAAGUUGCAAGUUUUCUUAGCCCAUGUACAAUAUGUUCUUGCUAGCUCCCAAGUGCCCCAGAAAAUAUGGCAAUGGCUGAUUUUUUUCCAAGGUGAAGUCCCUCACAAGAGCAAAGGGG
rnacentral:lncRNA from 1 species